rnacentral:rRNA from 1 species
AUAUCAAUAAGCGGAGGAAAAGAAACUAACAAGGAUUCCCUAGUAACGGCGAGUGAAGCGGGAACAGCUCAAAUUUUAAAUCUGACUGCUUUGCAGUUCGAGUUGUAUUUUGAAGGAGUCUGUCGCUCUUCGGGACGAUGGUACAAGUCCUUUGGAACGAGGCAUCAUAGAGGGUGAGAAUCCCGUCUUUGGCCAUCGCACCAGGAACACACGGCAGGCAUCCGAAGAGUCGAGUUGUUUGGGAUUGCAGCUCCAAAUGGGUGGUAAACUCCAUCUAAGGCUAAAUAUCUGCGAGAGACCGAUAGCGAACAAGUACCGUGAGGGAAAGAUGAAAAGAACUUUGAAAAGAGAGUAAAACAGUAC